UCAUACUGCCACACCACCUGGAACAUGCCUGAUCUAGAAAAGUAGGUGGGUUCAAGCCUUAUUAGUACUUGGAUGGGAGACCGCCUGGGAAUACUAAAUGCUGGAGGCU
rnacentral:rRNA from 1 species